GCAUCUAUACUUUUAUUUUUGUUUACUUAAAUUGUAGAUGAUUUGGUAAGUUGUAUUUAUUAGUCAUACAAACUUACUAAGCUUAAUUGCUUACUCCGUUUUAAUUUUCGUGUUUAAUAGUGAUUCAGAAGCUUGCUCGGUUUGGAAGUUAUCGGAGACCGCGUCACACUAUCAAAUGCUCAUUUCGGUACUAUUUUGGGUAAAUGGC
rnacentral:lncRNA from 1 species